GGAGGAGAAGGAGGAGGAGGAGGACUUACCUGGCACUGAUGGCGGCUGGAUCAUCGGAUGUGGGUGAUGGCGCGCGGAUGACUAGAUUCCUUAUCCCUUUGAGCUUCCCAUGCUCUAGUUUUUGUAUAGUGGGUUUUGAGCCUUCAAUUCUUGUCACCAAAUCGAACUGCUAUUAAAUGGUUUUGUAUAUUGGAAAAUAGAAGUCUCUUGUACUGCAUGUGGUUUCCAAUGUACAUCGAACUGGUAUUCAUUGGGACACAUUCAAUUGGCCCUUUAGAAACCUUAUAAAGUUGAGCUUCUGUUUUCUAAAAUCUUCAAUUAUAUUGAUUUUAUUUUUCUUUUAAUUUUUU
rnacentral:misc_RNA from 1 species